GAUGAACGCUGGCGGCGUGCCUAAUACAUGCAAGUCGAGCGAACGGACGAGAAGCUUGCUUCUCUGAUGUUAGCGGCGGACGGGUGAGUAACACGUGGAUAACAUACCUAUAAGACUGGGAUAACCUCGGGAAACAGGAGCUAAUACCGGAUGAUAUUUUGAACCGCAUGGUUCAAAAGUGAAAGACGGUCUUGCUGUCACUUAUAGAUGGAUCCGCGCUGCAUUAGCUAGUUGGUAAGGUAACGGCUUACCAAGGCAACGAUGCAUAGCCGACCUGAGCGGGUGAUCGGCCACACUGGAACUGAGACACGGUCCAGACUCCUACGGGAGGCAGCAGUAGGGAAUCUUCCGCAAUGGGCGAAAGCCUGACGGAGCAACGCCGCGUGAGUGAUGAAGGUCUUCGGAUCGUAAAACUCUGUUAUUAGGGAAGAACAUAUGUGUAAGUAACUGUGCACAUCUUGACGGUACCUAAUCAGAAAGCCACGGCUAACUACGUG
rnacentral:rRNA from 1 species